GUGGGUAGUUUGACUGGGGCGGUCUCCUCCUAAAGAGUAACGGAGGAGCACGAAGGUUAGCUAAUCCUGGUCGGACAUCAGGAGGUUAGUGCAAAGGCAUAAGCUAGCUUGACUGCGAGAGUGACGGCUCGAGCAGGUGCGAAAGCAGGUCUUAGUGAUCCGGUGGUUCUGAAUGGAAGGGCCAUCGCUCAACGGAUAAAAGGUACUCCGGGGAUAACAGGCUGAUACCGCCCAAGAGUUCAUAUCGACGGCGGUGUUUGGCACCUCGAUGUCGGCUCAUCACAUCCUGGGGCUGAAGUAGGUCCCAAGGGUAUGGCUGUUCGCCAUUUAAAGUGGUACGCGAGCUGGGUUUAGAACGUCGUGAGACAGUUCGGUCCCUAUCUGCCGUGGGCGCUGGAGAAUUGAGGGGGGCUGCUCCUAGUACGAGAGGACCGGAGUGGACGCAUCACUGGUGUUCGGGUUGUCAUGCCAAUGGCAUUGCCCGGUAGCUAAAUGCGGAAGAGAUAAGUGCUGAAAGCAUCUAAGCACGAAACUUGCCCCGAGAUGAGUUCUCCCUGAGACUA
rnacentral:rRNA from 1 species